rnacentral:lncRNA from 1 species
CUACAAGAAUCGGACUCCAUCCGAACUUCUACAAUAGACUUGAAUUCCAGACUCCUCCAGCGGUCGACCUUCCGCAGUAUCCUUAAGACUCCUCCAGCAGAUGAACUUCCACAACGUCUUUCGAACUCCACUAUCGAUCGACCUUCUACUGGAUUUCUCAUGAAAUCGAACCUCUCCAGCAGACAGUCUUCAGACGAGCUUCUACAUCAAAUAAAUUUCAGACAGACUUCUCUAGUAAUCGGACUCCAUCCAGAUUUCUCCAACAGAAAGUUUUCAUCCGGACUUCUACAACAGAUGACUUCGAUCUGCAGU